rnacentral:rRNA from 1 species
CCAAUAGCGUAUAUUAAAGUUGUUGCAGUUAAAAAGCUCGUAGUUGAAUUUCGGGAUCAAUAUGCCGGUCAUGCCUUGGUAUGUACUGGUAUCUUUGAUUUCUCCCUUCUGACGAACUUUGAUGUCAUUAAUUUGGUGUCAUAGGGAAUCAGGACUGUUACUUUGAAAAAAUUAGAGUGUUUAAAGCAGGCUCACGCUUGAAUACAUUAGCAUGGAAUAA